UACAGAGGUGGCAAGCGUUGUUCGGAAUUACUGGGCGUAAAGGGCGCGUAGGCGGCUCGUUAAGUCCUGCGUGAAAUCCCUCGGCUCAACUGGGGAACUGCACAGGAAACUAGCGGGCUUGAGUUCGGGAGAGGGAAGCGGAAUUCCGGGUGUAGCGGUGAAAUGCGUAGAUAUCCGGAGGAACACCGGUGGCGAAGGCGGCUUCCUGGACCGACACUGACGCUGAGGCGCGAAAGCUAGGGGAGCAAACGGG
rnacentral:rRNA from 1 species